rnacentral:rRNA from 1 species
GGUGAACGCUGGCGGCGUGCUUAAGACAUGCAAGUCGAACGGCAGUCUUCGGACUGUAGUGGCGCACGGGUGAGUAACGCGUGACUGACCUACCCCAAAGUCGCGGAUAACGAUUCGAAAGAAUCGCUAAUACGUGAUGUGCUGUCAGAUUGUGUUCUGCCAGUAAAGAUUGAUUGCUUUGGUAUGGGGUUGCGUUCCAUCAGCUAGUUGGUGGGGUAAAGGCCCACCAAGGCGACGACGGAUAGCCGGCCUGAGAGGGUGGCCGGCCACAGGGGCACUGAGACACGGGUCCCACUCCUACGGGAGGCAGCAGUUAGGAAUCUUCCACAAUGGGCGAAAGCCUGAUGGAGCGACGCCGCGUGAGGGAUGAAGGUCUUCGGAUCGUAAACCUCUGAAUCAGGGACGAAAGACACUUCGGUGGGAUGACGGUACCUGAGUAAUAGCACCGGCUAACUCCGUGCCAGCAGCCGCCGUAAGAC